GGGCACUCUAAGGUGACUGCCGGUGACAAACCGGAGGAAGGUGGGGAUGACGUCAAAUCAUCAUGCCCCUUAUGACCUGGGCUACACACGUGCUACAAUGGAUGGUACAAAGGGCUGCGAGACUGCGAAGUUAAGCGAAUCCCAUAAAACCAUUCUCAGUUCGGAUUGCAGGCUGCAACUCGCCUGCAUGAAGCUGGAAUCGCUAGUAAUCGUGGAUCAGCAUGCCACGGUGAAUACGUUCCCGGGCCUUGUACACACCGCCCGUCACACCACGAGAGUUUGUAACACCCGAAGUCGGUGGAGUAACCGUAAGGAGCUAGCCGCCUAAGGUGGGACAGAUGAUUGGGGUGAAGUCGUAACAAGGUAGCCGUAUCGGAAGGUGCGGCUGGAUCAC
rnacentral:rRNA from 1 species